CCCAAAUCAUAGAGACGAGUCUGCCAAGUCCAAGGAAACUACUCCUUUCAAUCCCACAAUUUCACAAUUCAAUAUCGUGUUUUGAGGUUAUCUCUGCAAGUUAAGGUUGGAGCGAGAAAUUCAAGUUAAAGAAAUUAAACGAACGAGGUGAACUUUUCUAUCCUACAUACUAAUGUGGAUGAAAAUAUAAACUUAUGUUUGUUAUUUGUGAAAAUGAUGUUGUCUUGCCAUAAAUGAUUUGUUUUAUGCCUAUCUGUUUGGUUGGAACGUAAGAAUCGAAUUCGGGUUCGAGUGAGGGUGGUGUCCCUACUCGGACUAGUGUACACAGGUGACCGUGGAAGGUGGCCACCUUCCACGGCACAAAGAUGAUAUAGUGGAGGCCGUUGGGAGGUGGCCACCUCCCCGGCUGGAGAAAGAUGUAGGUGACCGUGGGAGAGCACCAUCUCCACGGCACUUGGUGUUCAGAUAUGGCAAAAUAUGAAAGAACUUAGACUGCGCAGUCGAACAAAGAUUUUAGUUGAGCAGUGACGGUGG